AUACGUAGGUGGCAAGCGUUGUCCGGAUUUAUUGGGCGUAAAGAGAGAGAAGGCGGGGUCUUAAGGCUGAUGUGAAAGCCCCCGGCUCAACCGGGGAGGGUCAUUGGAAACUGGGAGACUUGAGUGCAGAAGAGGAGAGUGGAAUUCCAUGUGUAGCGGUGAAAUGCGUAGAUAUAUGGAGGAACACCAGUGGCGAAGGCGGCUCUCUGGUCUGUAACUGACGCUGAGGCUCGAAAGCGUGGGGAGCAAACAGGAUUAGAUACCCUGGUAGUCCACGCCGUAAACGAUGAGUGCUAAGUGUUGGAGGGUUUCCGCCCUUCAGUGCUGCAGCUAACGCAUUAAGCACUCCGCCUGGGGAGUACGACCGCAAGGUUGAA
rnacentral:rRNA from 1 species